UUGAUACCCCUGAAGACUAAAGUCCCCUGUUUAUUCAGAGAUUAUGUACAACAUGGGCAGUGGCAAUCGAAGCUCCCCCCGACCUGGAAUGAGUCGCCCCUAGGGGUGAAAGGCAAGUUCAGUCUCCAGGGCCUUUCAAAAUUCCUUAGGA
rnacentral:sRNA from 1 species